rnacentral:misc_RNA from 1 species
GUGUAACAACACGGAUCACUUCCGCUGCAGAACUCGAAAGAGACUCCAGAGGCAGCUCGUCGAGCCCAAGCCGCACUAAUAAAAAAGGGACAACUCGCAGCCGCCUCUAACAACUCACUUCAAGGACACUCAAGCACACAACACCCUGAAGACAAGCCAGCAACCACCACAACUUCAGAAGAUAUCGGAAACCUACCAAUAUCACCUAAACAAUCUUGCUGCUGUAUUCUCUGAAUCCUCAACAAUUAAUCGGUAGAGUUCACACUAUCUAAUAUUCUUCCUUUUUAAUUAUAGUAUAACUUUAAUUUCGUACCAUGGUUACUAGAAUCCAACUAUAGUUGGAGCCAUGGCAGAAACAGAUGUUGAACACACACCACCACUAGCAAUCUCCAUGAAAUCCGAGGACUUGCUGGCGAGUCGUAUGGCCGGCAAUCUCCUCCAAAUCAAACUUGGCGAGAAAAUUGAAGAGCCACAGACCAUCUACAGAGUUCUU